rnacentral:miRNA from 1 species
AGCCUGUAAAACUGCAAAAAGGAA